GUCUAUAGCCAUGCCAUUCUGAACAAGCCCGAUGUCUGAUCUCGGAAGCUAAGCAGGGUCAGGCCUGGUUAGUACUUGGAUGGGAAACCACCUAGGAAGUCCAGGUGCUGUAGGCA
rnacentral:rRNA from 1 species